AUUGAACGCUGGCGGCAGGCCUAACACAUGCAAGUCGAGCGAGAGGCGGACGGGUGAGUAAUGUAUGGGGACUGCCCGAUAGAGGGGGAUACCUACUGGAAACGGUGGCUAAUAACGCAUACUACCGGCUAACCCAUAUGGGAUUAGGUAGUAGGUGGGGUAAAGGCUCACCUAGGCGACGAUCUCUAGCUGGUCUGAGAGGAUGAUCAGCCACACUGGGACUGAGACACGGCCCAGACUCCUACGGAGGCAGCAGUGGGGAAGAUUGCACAAUGGGCGCAAGCCUGAUGCAGCCAUGCCGCGUGUGUGAAGAAGGCCUUAGGGUUGUAAAGUACUGUCAGCAGGGAAGCGUUACCCGCAGAAGAAGCACCGGCUAACUCCGUGCCAGCAGCCGCGGUAAUUC
rnacentral:rRNA from 1 species